GCCAUACAAACAUGGCGGCUUUCAUCCGAUCCUGGAAUCGACAGGGCGAUUCCUAAUGUUUUCUUGAUAGUGCAUGUUUACCUUUUGCACAUGUAUUGCUAAAGAAGACACCCAUCGUAAACGAUAAGGGGCAUCAUGUCUGAUGACGAGGCUAAGAAAACUGUGGCUAAAGACAAGAACAUGCACAAAUGUAAUUUGUGCACCCUGUCAUAUGCAUCUGAAAGAGAUUUGCGAGAACACUUUUGGUCUCUGAUGCAUCACACAAACAUAGAAUGCAAGAAAAAGAACAGUCAGCACAACUGCACUCUCUGUUUUACUACCUGUGGAAGUAUUGCGGAAUAUCGGAAACAUCUGAGUGGUGAGAAACAUAAGAAGGCUGCAGAAGAAAAUCGUAAUGCUGAGGAUGAAAAGGAGGCAGCAGAGGCAAGGGAAGCUCAACAUAAAAAAUCUGUGGCAAGGGUGCCAGAUAAGCACAGUAACAUGAAGGACAGGCAAACUUUGUCUGGUGAUGACGAUCAAGAACAGGAGGAACAGAGUGAAGGGUUCAGGAGAGACCCUAUUUUCUACAAGAGGAAGAAAAAAGCCCAGUCCGAAAAACAACAAAAAGACAUUAACCAGCAACAUUCAAGAUGGGAUCAGCCUGACCCUUACAAUGAUGGAGACUAUGAUAGAUAUGGCAACCCAUGGGACCAAGGCUACAACUACCGCUUCAACAAUAUGUGCCACAAUGACUAUUACCAAAAUGGCUAUCAUAGUGGAUAUGGCCAUCAAGAUUUUCAAAAUCGAUAUGGCAACGGCUAUGGUUGGUUUCCCCCAAGAGGCGGUUUUGUUGGCUUUAAUGGGCCCCCAAGAGGGGCGGUGCAAGGACCAAGAUAUGUGGACUUUGAUAGUCAUGAGAAUGUGAGAAUGGAUGAUGAUAUGGACAUGGAGGGGGAAAGUGGGGAGGAGGAAGGUGUGAGUGUGCAUAAUAAGGAGUUUCCUUCCUAUCAAGGCCAGUACUGGAACGAUUAUCAGCCUAAUGGGCAUCCACCUCCACCGUGGCAUGGUUCAUGGAAUAACAGUAGUCAGAGAGGCAGUGUUGGGGAAGUGGAGUUUGAACAGAACAAUGAAGAAAGGGCAGUUGGGACAAAGAGUAAGAAAAAGAAGAAAGGAAAGUGGAAGGGAAAGACAAAGACACAAGGGGAGAGACACAAAGGAAAGGUUAACCCUACAAAUGGUGAAAGUCCUAAUACUGCAAAUGCAAGGAAACGGUGUCGAAAGUCUGAUCCUGUGAAAACAGACCCCAAAACUUCUCGAUUGGGAGAUGUGAACAGCAUAUGUGCUGAGGCAAAGGCAGUGAUGGAUGGUUUCACAUUCCAGUUUGAUAAAGUGUUUAGUAGUGACCAUGAUGCAGAGACACUUUCUCACUCGGUGAGGUCAACAUCUUCCAACAAGUCCAAGUCUUCAGCAAAAAGCAGGAGUAGCAGUAGUAGCCCCUCGUUAAGACUGAAGAGCCUUAGUGCAAGGAAACUUCAGAAUAGUCGAGUCUCACCAAAGAGUAUUCGUGUGUCCCCUAAAGUAAAUCGGGACAGUAAGGUAGUUAGAAGUGAACUGCAAAGUGAUGACACAAAUGCAGAGUCUGGUGUUUUAGAAAAAGCUGAGAAGCUGUGUAAAGAACUUAGGGAAAAGAGGCAGAAAGCUAAAUCAGACAAAGAGAGGAUAAUGAAGUCCAAGAAAAAUGAAAUGAGGGAUGUGUUGAACAAGCAAAUCAAGACUUUAAGUGAUGCAAAUAAAUCUAGAAUCAAGGGUCAUUUGGCAUCUGUUGAGAAAGACUCUGCUGUGUCUUCUCUUCAGGAAAGUGGUAUUGCAUCGUUCUCAUCUUCGCAGACAUCUGCAGAUCUAACUGCCAGCAGAAGCUCACUUGCUUCCAGUUCACAGACUUUGGUUUCUCAAAGUGAAGAUCAAACCUCAACUCCUAGAAAUGAUAUUGAGAGGAUAAGGCACAGUAUUGAAAACAGUGUCAGAAGAUCUUUGUCAAGCCCAGCAAAACCAACGUCAUCUUCUAGUGAAUCUCCUGUUAACAGCUCAAAAAACAGGAAGCCAUUGAGCAAAGAUUCUUUGUUGAAGAUGGUGAACUCACCGAGGUCCAGAAAUGAGAGGCUGCAUUUAGCGAGAAUGUUGAGAACCCGUGCCAGAACACAGAACAAAUUAGCCCCUUCAAGAUUGAAUGUUCAGCUGAAUGGACUGUAUGACAACUAUGAAUUUGAUGAAGAGGACAUCCCUGCUAUAUCUCUGGAAGACCUGUCACCAGAAGUCAAGCUACAGAUUGCUCAGCUGAUUGAGGAUGAUGUAAAUAUAGACUUAAUUAACAGUGAGCCGGAUACUCCAAGUUCUCCUGGUAUUGAAGCCAAGGUUAACCUCAGCAAGCCGUCCAGCAUCAGCAGAUUAGAGGCUAUGGAAGCAGCAGCUGGUUAUGGAACGAUGGCAAACACGAUUCAAUCAGAUGCUGCAUUGUCCAUUGCCGAUCUGAAUAGCCCACCCCACAGACCUCUGCGUGAAAGUUCCACACACCAGGCUGUUCUGAAUGUUGAGUCACUGGAGACCAUGCAGUUCAGAGAGUCUUCCAUUACUGUGACAUCGAUUGAUGGCAUUCCUCAAUUGCAAGUGUCAGAGCCAACUGUCAGCUCCAACUUUAGUCCACUGACAUUAUCAAGCCCAGUUCCUACAAGUGUGCCCAGUGCUACUUCCUGUGGGGAUGGUGUUCCGAAACACAUGUCAUCGGCUGUUUCCAGUGCUGUGGAUCUGGGCAGAAGAGCUUUACAGAUGAGUGGCCUUGAGGACAGGCUGAGCCUCAGUCACAGUUGUACAUCUGUGGCUACACCAAGUCCACAGAGUUUGGUCCCAAGUGUGAACCCACCUCAAAGUCAGUAUCUGAUGAGUGCAGUGCUGGAGCUCUCCUUGAAGGAGGAAGAGAAACAGAAAGAUAUUGAUGAGCUGGAACGGAAGAUUGAUGUGAUGCGGCAGAUGCUCAGGAGGACUUUGGACCAUCUUGAGAACAGCGAGCAGCGUAGGAAGGAGCUCCUUAAUGAUAACAAGAAGAUCAGGGAGAGAAAACUGAAAGUGUUGAGAGAACUGAUGGGACAUCAAUCAUUAGAAUCUCCUCUGCACACCACUCAGCUUUCCUCUCCACUCCAUGCAGUCUCCGAGAACGUCAUGACUCCAACACGGAGCCACUUGUCAUCCGAAUCCAUGGACAUUGACUUUGUCACAGACUGUGUAUCAUCUACAAGUCAGGCUAAGCCAGACUCUAACGUCAGGAUCGAUCUUCCCCACCCAGAUUUCCUUUCUUCAAGACUCCCAGAUCAUCGAACAGAGGCCCCAUCCCCAGCAGACACAGCUACAAGGCCAGUAUCCAUGUCUACUGUUUCUGCUCCCUCCUCCUCAGUUACUAAGGAGGUUGACACUAACCUUGCACACUCCUCUCAAUCCCGGGACAAGCCCACUAGUUCUCUCUCACUAAGUUGUGUUUCAGUUAAGCAAGAGCAGAACAGCCCGCCACCUGAUAUAACCCCAUGUGUCACAUCCCCCAGUUUGACCGAGACCGGUGGUGGUGAGAGUGCUACAGUUGUUGAUAGUUUUGUGCCUAACUCAUCUGUUACAAAGUCCACCCAACCUGGAACAGUUUUGUUAAAUACCCAACCCUUGUUGGACAGUUUUGAGUCCAGUUCUGAUCCUACUGCUUCUGAAGCUCAUUUGAUCUCCUCAUUUACUUCUGGGAAAGCUGGAACAAAUGUGGAUUUUUCUUCUCUGACUGAUGUAGCGGCGGUCAUCAGACCUACAGUGGAUUCUUCUCACACAAUCAUAAAUAUGACAAAUUGUUAUCACACAUCUACUCCUUGUGCAGAAACUCAAACUGAUACAGAUCGUUUGGCCUCCUUUUCAACCUGGUCUCCACUGGCAGACCGUCUGACCUCAGUAUCAGGGUCUUCCCUCAGGAGAACACAUUCCGUGGAUGCAGUGACAAGUGUCAGUGGUAAAAACACUGCCACUGGAUCAACUCCAAACACACCAAAUUUAUGUGACUCAUCUAAUUCAACUAUCAGGCACAUUUUGGCAAGUCCCCCAGUAGCUGACGUCUGCUCUAAAUCUCCCUUUGAUAAAGAUGCUAAGGACUCAACAAGUUCAGGAUUUGUGUCUGUGGCAUCAGCCCAAAGAAGGAUCUCAGAAUCUGAAAUGUCACCCAGUAAGGAGUCAAUGUCUUUGAUGAGUGUUACCUCUGGCAGAACAAGAACAGUGUCUGAAUCCAGUGAUGGUGAUGCGGGUAAACGGUCACAGUCGGUUCCAAUGACCUAUCUUGGUAGUAUUAGUGGAGGUGUCGAAACAGCUGCAGUUUUAAAAAAGCUUGCAGCAGACUUGGGUAACCUGGGCAGUUUGAACAACAUGUCUUGUGUUAUGCUUGACAGACAAGAUAUUUCUGAUAAAUUUCAAUCUGUAUCAUCGCGAACAAGAAGGAACUCUGAAAAUAGUCAAAAGUCAUCAAACCAAGUUGCAACAGAUUUCCAUUUGAUGGAACUGGACCUGAAAGGUGAUAACAGUGGGAAGGACUCGACUCCUAGAGACGAGUCUGACCAGAAUGGGAGCAUCGUCAGCAACAGCUCCCUGGGGGAGAAGAUCAGGCGGUAUUGUCAGACAGUCAACAGAAGGACGUCCCUGGAAACUAUUGAAGGAGAAGCAUCAGAUGGGGAUCGGACUUUGAGGGAAGAAGACUUUGCAAGACCUGAGAGUCCGGGAUCUGACAACACACCAGGAAGAAUACUUAAACAGUGCUCAGUUGUUUUGCAGAAAUUGGAGCUAGAGAGACAGGCAGCCAAUGGAUUGAAUGAGAAUGAUGAAGUGCAGGAGAUGGCUGAUCAUGAUGUUCUGGUUCAGGAGGUUCAGCAGCAGGAGGUGAUGGUGCAGGACAAGGAACAGCCGCAGGCAGCUCCAAUUGAUGAGGCUACAAAAGUAGAUACAAAUGGGCCACCAUCUCCAGGGAGGAAAAAGAGAAAAACUAAGAAAGAGAGAGAUAUUUUGGCCAACAGAAGGAAAUACUGGUUUGAUUCCAGUUCUGAUAAUAACUCUCAGGAAGAAGAAACUGUGCCCAAGCUGUCAACUCUUAAACAACAGCUUGUAUUUAGUCAGAAAGAUAAUAAUAACUCCGAUCUAGAACAAGGCUCUUUGGAUAACAAUAUUGCUGAUAUCAAGAGGGAGAUUGAACAAUUUGAAGAUCAAGUUCAAGCAGAAGUUCCUCAGAACAAGGUGGAUGUGAUGGGGAAUCCUAAUGAUGACCCACUCUCACUGAGGAUGCAGGCUGAGGAUGCAGGUAAAGCGCCCAAAUCACCAUCACAUGCAGCUAAAGCUGGUUGCCCAUCAAGUGUGGCCUACGCUGGCCCUUCUGACCCUGUCACCUGUCUGCAGGUCUUCAACAACCAUCUGUAUGUGUGCUACCAGGGAAAAGAUAUUCACAGAUAUCACCUUGUGACAGGCGAGAUGGACAUGCAGUACAACUGCAGCUAUCACUCCGUACAGUGCAUGGCUGUGGUCGCCGUACCAGGAAAGGAGGACUGUAUCUAUGCUGGUGGGCUUUCGUUCCAUGUGCUGCUCUUCAAUGUAAAGACUCCCCACAUUGUCCAGACAUUUGAGUUGUCUGAGGAGAUCAAAUGUAUGCACUACGAUGCAGGGACACUGUAUGUGGGACUGAUGUCAGGUUCUGUGGAGGUGUUCGAGGUCAAGAACCAACGCCACAAAGACUCAUUCCAGUGUGCCUACCAGGCUAUACACUGUAUCUCCUCGGCCCGAGAGGGAGGCAGUAAACUCAUCUGCGUGUCUGCCCAGGACACCACAAUCUCCGUGUGUGAUGCUCGCAGCGGGCUGCCUGUCAGAAUACUCGGGGGACACAAAAAGACCUCCUUCUCUGUUAUGUCAUCUGAUCACUUUGUGUUCAGUGGGUCUGGAGACAGGACAGUCAUGAUGCAUAACCUACAUACUGGCAAGCUGGAGUGGACAUUCAAAGAACAUGGUGGCAUUGUGACGAGUGUGUGGGUUGAAGGAAACACCCUCUACUCAGCUGGUUAUGACAGAUUGGUCAGGUGCUUUGACAUUAAGAGCCACACUUUGAGAAAAAUGUACUAUGGAGCUGGCAAGGGUGUGAUAAUGAGUAUUGCUGUACAUGGUGAUGAGCUGUUCACAGGCAGCCGUGAGGGCCAUGUUGAGUGCAUUCAGAUGAAGGCAGAAAGUUGGCCCUGCAAGAUUGACAGCUGCCAGUAUGUGUUUGGUGUGAGGGAGCACCUGCUGCAUCACCUCCUCACAGACCAUGUUCUGCCCAACAACAAGCUGGCGCGCUGCAUGUGGAAGGACUGCACUGAUUGGCUCACACAGCAGAGAGAUGAUAGGUCAGUGGAAUCUCACAUGAGGAAACAUUUGGACAGUCUCAAUGGAAUCACAGUCUGAGUGUGAUGAAGAUGAAUGUGAUCUAACAUCAGUCUUUCAACAUGGAGAAUGUUUUGUCUUUGGCCAUGAAACUGUGGGUAGAGUAGCUGAAGAUGAAUUGAUAUCAGUGAUAUGAACAUGCAUGUUGUGAUGUACUCAUUCAGGAAGAAAAGGUACCGUCAACAUCCAAGGGAAGUUCUGCCGAAAUUCUGAGUUACUGACUGUGAAGGCCAUCUUCUGUACAGAUAUCUUAAGUGAAGUCCUAAAUGUCGGGGGAUAUCAAAUUGAAAUGUGGGUACAUUGUUUAAAUACAGGACUAUAUUGUGUGGGGUAAUAUUGGAGUUUACAGUUAGCUUGUUUAAAGUUACAGGAGCUUGACUAUUUUGUAUCUGCUCCAGUUACAUUAGAAAUUUCUUGAUGUUAUGCAUUUGUGAUUUGCAUAAUUGAAUGAAGCUCAAAUGAACAAAACUGUCCUACAAGUAUGAUUUCAUUUUCUUUUGAUGGGUACCAGUAAUACAAAGCUGUGUGCUACCUGGGUGUGAGAGAUUCUACAAUACUGAUACGGAUGUGUGAAAAAAUACCCUUGUGCAAAAAAUGCCUGAGAAGGAAUAAUUUGUUAUACUUUGGGAUUGUUACUUCACUGUGUUUGCUUUUGAAAUAAAGGUAAUCAUUUUCCUAUCCUAGGUCAGAGCACCAUGCACCUGCUUUUGGUUAAUCAGUUAAUUAUUUCACCAUGUCACAAUCUGUACACUAACAGUAUUCAAAAUCAAGUCAAAAUCAGGUCAAGAUAUCCUUGUUAUAUAUAGCUUAAAUGUUGAAAGAUUUAGAGGGUGUUUGGAUUCAAUUAUGUAAAGACAGCCCUUCCAGUUAAACCAGCAGAGAGCAACCAAGCUCUUAGUUAUGUACACACUUCUUUAAUAGUUCUGGUGAAAAAGUGGCGGGUUUUAAUCAAAACAAUGCACACUAAAUGAGGUCUGUGUCUUGUUUGUAAUUGUGUGGCUGUUACAUAUACAUAUUCCAGAGUUGGUUGCUCUCUGCUGGUUUGCAUUGGUAGGCCUGAAAGAGCAAACCUAAAUGACCCAAAGACACCUCCCUUAUUUCAAAAACUGCAGGACCUCCUAACACACAAUGCUUGUUAUUAGUUGAGUGAGGUCUCAUGCAGAAGGACUGAGUUAAUUUGUCCUUAGUUGUGGUUGCUAAAGAUUCUGUAUUCUGUCACUCUCAAAGUACAAUAACACAACUCCAGUACCACUGAAAGACUCAAUACUUCAGGGCUUUCAGUCUUGUGAAAUUAUUGUGCAGGACAUUGACUGAUGAAAGUUGAAUUCCAUUUAUGACUUUUAACAUUCAACUGUACAGUGAACCAUUGAACUUACAGCCCGUGUCUAAAAGCUCCUGUGAUAUCGAAUAUUGAAGAUCCAUUUUGAAUUGCUUUGACCAAGAUGUCUCUUGUGAUUAAAAGUACAGAUUUGAAGAAAAUGUGUACUUUCAUUGUAUAGAUACUUCACCUCAGUAUUGCAUGAAACAUGUCAAUAAAUGUGGGCCUGAUGUAACUCCUGAAAGAUGAAGCGUUGUGAUGUCUUCUGAUGAACUUACAAAUAUAAGUCAUCAACCAUAGACAAGACUUGUGCUAGAAUACUGUCUGGGAGCAAAUGAAUGUUUAGCUCACCUUACUGAAAGUCAAGUGAGCUUAUGUCAUGGCCUGCUUGUCCAUCAGCAUCUGUAAACGUCUUCUUGUCGGGAUCAACUCGACAAAUGAGGCCGACACUUCACAGGCUUGUUCCCACCAGUCUUGAUGCCUGAAUUUGCUCAAGAUUUUCAAUAUGGUCAUCACUACAGCUUUAUGAUAAAAACCUACUUAUAUCCACUGCUCAAAAUGUACUGUAAUGCUCUUAAAUUAUCUCAGAAUGCAUUUUUGGCUCUGUAAAGAUCUUCUAAUCGGAAGCUGGCACGUUCAAAUCAUUAGGAUUUUUGGGUCGGUUUUGGAGGGAAACAAUUGUAUGGCAUUAGAAAUAUAUUUCUCCUUAGAAGGUAUACAAAGCUCACUGUUGAGACUUUAUGUGAAGUAUAUUUAACUGUAGUACAUUAUUACUUUGCAAAAAUGUUAUACAAUGAUACAUUCAUUCCUUUAGGGAAUUAGAAAUAUUAUGAAAAUUUAUUUACUUGUUUCAUGUUUGUCUAUACAUGUAGAGUAUUUAUGUAGAAGAUAUUUGAAUAGCAGUUUUGACCGCAAUGUAUUUUUUAGAUGCAGUCCUUUUUUUGACAUUUUAAACUUUGACCUCAUAUCCUGGUGAGCUACAUUGCAGUGGCACUAUUUUAAUUUGUAUUUCACAUUUUUUAAGGAUGUGCCUAAGGGAUGAAAAGUUACACCCAAAUCACAAUAUAUUAACUGAUACUUAGUUAACAGUACGGGAAAUACCAGUAAACUAUUUCUGAGUGAACCUGCAAUUAUUUUCUAUUUCAUAUAGAAAAUACAAUAAUAAACAUCGUAGUGUUUUGUUCAGAUAACAGGACAGACGUAGCAACUGUCAAUUGAAGCAGCUAAAACAAGGAGUCAAUUCUCUUCCACUCUUCAGAUAAUGAAAUUUGACAGUCCCUGGAAUAUCAAGGUUACGGCGUCAUGUAGAAUAUUGAUGAAGUUGAAAUAAAUUGAUUUGAAUCUUGGUAUUGAAUGUCCAUUAAGGUACUCUAUUUACAUGACCUUUGAUUCCUGGAAAAAAUGCCUCAAAUGUUGUGUGCUCCAAGGGAUAAUAAACCAAGUGAUUGACCUCAAGUCAGCCCAUUUGUCUGAAUAGAGAAUCAAAAUAGAGCCUGAAACACCUUAGUCAGUUUAUUGACCUGUUGCCCAGUACCCUUAGUAGUCCUGUAAGGUUAUGUGCACUGUCCACAUUGUUCCACAUUGUGUACAGAGGUCACUGUCCUUGUUCCACAUUGUGUACAGAGGUCACUGUCCUUGUUCCACAUUGUGUACAGAGGUCACUGUCCUUGUUCCACAUUGUGUACUGAGGUCACUGUCCUUGUUCCACAUUGUGUACUGAGGUCACUGUCCUUGUUCCACAUUGUGUACAGAGGUCACUGUAUUUGUUCAUGCUUGAGGAUCAGCAACAAAUGUUAAUUAAUCCAGCAACAAUUCAGCUGGUUUGUUAUUUUUUGUGUCUUGGUACAUAAAGUGUCUCAUAGUUUGUUUUGCAUUUAAAACUUUGCAUUUUUAUCAAGACUGUGAUAGUUUUAUGUAGAAGUAGUGCUACGGUAGUGUUGUGUUCAUGUGAAUAUUUUAUCUGUUUAAGCAAUCUGUUAGACAAUCAAAAGAAGGUGCUUUUCAAUAUAAUUUGUUGAACACUGCAGGUUUUAUUUGUGACAAGAACUUUUCUUUCUGUCUGUGAAAUAGGACAUUCCAUCUCAAAAUACCAUUAAACCUCAGAAACUCCUGCAACUGGCAUAUUGUUUUAAGUCAGUUACCUUAUGGUCCAGUGGAAUGCUUAUUGGCACGAUGUUGUAAAAUUGGCACUCUCCUUGUCUUGAACUACAGUUAUCUCACAUGUUUGACGGUCCUUGGACAAAGACUAAACAGGUGUCAAUGUACAGGAAAUCAUUUGUCAUGACACCAUCAGCUACUAACCAGGGUUUUGAGAUCGACUCAUAGACAUGUUCAUUUUGAACCCUGCAGAUGGUUUUAUAACAUGGGUUUUCCCAUUUCAUUAUGAGAGCCACAUAUCACAAUGUGUGUAAUCAGCUCAGCUGACAACUCUUUUACCUUCAUCCCUAAGUGUUGCAGUUAUGAGGUUCAAUGUUAAUUUGCACAUAUUACUUUUGUUCCAAAUUUUAGACUUGUCCAGUGUUGUAACUGUGAAUAUUUACAGUUUGGUCUAUACUGUAGUCUGUUUUAUGCCUGGACACAUGACAGAUGGAAGUAAACAUCCUCAUGAUCAAAGUAGCUCCUUUUGUAUCUCAUGAUGUAUAUACAGUUGUAAAUAUGACAAUAAAACAUGAUACACA
rnacentral:misc_RNA from 1 species